GUGAGGAAUUUUCCGCAAUGGGCGAAAGCCUGACGGAGCAAUGCCGCGUGAAGGAUGAAGGCCUAUGGGUUGUAAACUUCUUUUCUCAGAAAAGAAUUAUGACGGUAUCUGAGGAAUAAGCAUCGGCUAACUCUGUGCCAGCAGCCGCGGUAAGACAGAGGAUGCAAGCGUUAUCCGGAAUGAUUGGGCGUAAAGCGUCUGUAGGUUGUUUAAAAAGUAUUCUGUCAAAGAUUAGGGCUUAACCCUAGAUAGGCAGAAUAAACUUUUAAGCUAGAGUUUGGUAGAGGCAGAGGGAAUUCCUGGUGGAGCGGUGAAAUGCGUAGAUAUCGGGAGGAACACCAAAGGCGAAGGCACUCUGCUGGGCCAAUACUAACACUGAGAGACGAAAGCGAGGGGAGCAAAUGGGAUUAGAAACCCGAGUAGUCC
rnacentral:rRNA from 1 species